CCAGACUCCUACGGGAGGCAGCAGUGGGGGAUAUUGCACAAUGGGGGGAACCCUGAUGCAGCGACGCCGCGUGGGUGAAGGAGUGCUUCGGCAUGUAAAGCCCUAUCGGCAGGGAAGAAGCAAGACGGUACCUGACUAAGAAGCCCCGGCUAACUACGUGCCAGCAGCCGCGGUAAUAAGUAGGGGGCAAGCGUUAUCCGGAAUUACUGGGUGUAAAGGGAGCGUAGACGGUGAUGUAAGUCUGGAGUGAAAGGCGGGGGCCCAACCCCCGGACUGCUCUGGAAACUAUGUGACUGGAGUGCAGGAGAGGUGAGCGGAAUUCCUAGUGUAGCGGUGAAAUGCGUAGAUAUUAGGAGGAACACCAGUGGCGAAGGCGGCUCACUGGACUGUAACUGACGUUGAGGCUCGAAAGUGUGGGGAGCAAACAGGAUUAGAUCCCCUAGUA
rnacentral:rRNA from 1 species